rnacentral:rRNA from 1 species
UUAAGUAAUUAAGCGUAUACGGUGGAUGCCUUGGCAAUAAGAGGCGAUGAAGGACGUGCUAACCUGCGAAAAGCUGCGGUAAGCUGGUAAGAGGCGCAAUACCCGCAGAUGUCCGAAUGGGGAAACCCACUGCGCAAGCAGUAUCCUGUUUACAGGAAGCGAACCGGGAGAAGUGAAACAUCUCAGUACCCCGAGGAAAAGAAAUCAACCGAGAUUUCCCUAGUAGUGGCGAACGAACGGGAAGAAGCCCAAAAUCUUGAUAUGUGAUAGCUGAAUCAGUUGGGAAGCUGAACAGAAAAGUGUGAUAGUCACGUAAGCGACGUUGCAUAUUGAGUGAUACAUGAGUAUGGCGGGACACGAGAAAUCCUGUCAGAAGAUGGGGGGACCAUCCUCCAAGGCUAAAUACUACUUAUUGACCGAUAGUGAACCAGUACCGUGAGGGAAAGGCGAAAAGAACCCCUGUGAGGGGAGUGAAAAGAAUCUGAAACCGUAUACGUACAAGCAGUAGGAGCGCUACGGCGUGACUGCGUACCUUUUGUAUAAUGGGUCAGCGAGUUGCUUUCAGUGGCGAGGUUAACCGUAUAGGGGAGCCGUAGGGAAACCGAGUUUUAACUGAGCGAAUAAGUCGCUGGGAGCAGACCCGAAACCUGAUGAUCUAGUCAUGGGCAGGAUGAAGGUAAGGUAACACUUACUGGAGGUCCGAACCCACUAACGUUGCAAAGUUAGGGGAUGACCUGUGACUAGGGGUGAAAGGCCAAUCAAAUCAGGUGAUAUCUGGUUCUCCCCGAAAGCUAUUUAGGUAGCGCCUCAAUUGAUGAUUACAGGGGGUAGAGCACUGUUUCGGUAAGGGGCCCAUCCCGGGUUGCCGAGUCGAUGCAAACUCCGAAUACCUGUAAGUGAAGAUUGGGAGACAGACAGCGGGUGCUAAGGUCCGUUGUCGAGAGGAAAAGAGUCCGGACCGCCAGCUAAGGUCCCCAAGUACAGAUUAAGUGGGAAACGAUGUGGGAAGGCAUAGACAGCUAGGAUGUUGGCUUAGAAGCAGCCAUCAUUAAAAGAAAGCGUAAUAGCUCACUAGUCGAGUCGGCCUGCGCGGAAGAUGUAACGGGGCUAAAUCUGUCACCGAAGCUGCGGAUUCAUUCGUAAGAAUGAGUGGUAGGGGAGCGUUCUGUAAGGUGAAGAAGGUGUACUGGAAGGUAUGCUGGAGCUAUCAGAAGUGCGAAUGCUGACGUGAGUAACGAUAAUACGGGUGAAAAACCCGUACGCCGAAAGACCAAGGUUUUCUGUCCAACGUUAAUCGGGGCAGAGUGAGUCGGAUCCUAAUGAUAAACUGAAAAGUGAGGCAGAUGGGAAAUCGGUUAAUAUUCCGAUACUUUAUAUGACUGCGAUGGAGGGACGAAGAAGGUUAGGCACGCAUACUGUUGGAUGUAUGUGAAAGGGUGUAGUUCCGCUGUGUACGAAGAGAAGGCAUGGCGAAGGAUGAGACCUGAGAGGAGGGAACUACGGUUCCUGAAGGUGUUGAUACCCUGCUUCCUGGAAAAUCUUCUAAGCUAUAGGUUAUAUAAAACCGUACCCCAAACCGACACAGGUGGUCGGGUAGAGAAUACCAAGGCGCUUGAGAGAACUCGGGUGAAGGAACUAGGCAAAAUAGUACCGUAACUUCGGGAGAAGGUACGCCGAUGGUUGUUAGCCGUCACGCACGGUAAAGCAAUAAUCGGUCACAGAAACCAGGUGGCUGGGACUGUUUAACAAAAACACAGCACACUGCAAACACGAAAGUGGACGUAUAGUGUGUGACACCUGCCCGGUGCCGGAAGGUUAAAUGAUGAAGUUAUCGCAAGAGAAGCUUCUGAUUGAAGCCCCGGUAAACGGCGGCCGUAACUAUAACGGUCCUAAGGUAGCGAAAUUCCUUGUCGGGCAAGUUCCGACCUGCACGAAUGGUGUAACCAUGGCCACGCUGUCUCCACCCGAGAC